GACGAACGCUGGCGGCGUGCUUAACACAUGCAAGUCGAACGGAGAGGCCCUGCUUUUGUGGGGUGCUCGAGUGGCGAACGGGUGAGUAACACGUGAGUAACCUGCCCUUGACUUUGGGAUAACUUCAGGAAACUGGGGCUAAUACCGGAUAGGAGCUCCUGCUGCAUGGUGGGGGUUGGAAAGUUUCGGCGGUUGGGGAUGGACUCGCGGCUUAUCAGCUUGUUGGUGGGGUAGUGGCUUACCAAGGCUUUGACGGGUAGCCGGCCUGAGAGGGUGACCGGCCACAUUGGGACUGAGAUACGGCCCAGACUCCUACGGGAGGCAGCAGUGGGGAAUAUUGCACGAUGGGCGGAAGCCUGAUGCAGCAACGCCGCGUGCGGGAUGACGGCCUUCGGGUUGUAAACCGCUUUCGCCUGUGACGAAGCGUGAGUAACGGUAAUGGGUAAAGAAGCACCGGCUAGCUACGUG
rnacentral:rRNA from 1 species